rnacentral:rRNA from 1 species
CUAUGGGAUGUAAUACGCUCAUAUAAGGGACAUAAAGUGAGACCUUGUGAGCUUAUAAGCACGUGCUUUAUGAAUAAGGAGCCGUCUAAUUCCGUGCCAGCAGCCGCGGUAAUACGGAAGGUCAGGGCGCUAUCUGGAUCUAUGGGGUUUAAAGGGAGAGUAGGCCGGAGAUUUAGGGUGCAGUGAAAUGUAGAUGCUUAUCAUAAGCACUGCAGCUCGAAGUGGUGUCGGGGAGUACGCACAAAGUCGGCGGAAUCAGAGGGAUAGCGCGAUGAAAUGCUUAGAUAUCAUGAAGAACUCCGAGAGCGUAAGGCAGGUCAAUGCGAGGGCAACUGAUGUUGAAGCUGGAAAGUGAUGGUAUAGAACAGGAAUAGAUAGCUUGGUAGUACUCACGGUAAACGAUGGAUCCAUGAUCAAGGUCAGAAUAGGUGCACGCGGCCAAGCGAAAGCAUUAAGCAUCCCACCUGGAGAGUGCGCCGGCAACGAUCCAAGUCAAAGGAAUGGAUGCA